UGGCGGACGGGUGAGUAACGCGUGGGUAACCUGCCUUACACGAGGGGAUAACACUUAGAAAUAGGUGCUAAAACCGCAUAAGCGCACAGCUUCGCAUGAAGCGGUGUGAAAAACUCCGGUGGUGUAAGAUGGACCCGCGUCUGAUUAGCUUGUUGGCGGGGUAACGGCCCACCAAGGCGACGAUCAGUAGCCGGCCUGAGAGGGCGGACGGCCACAUUGGGACUGAGACACGGCCCAGACUCCUACGGAAGGCAGCAG
rnacentral:rRNA from 1 species